CAAGGACCUCGGGAUCACGACCCAAGCCAAAAGCAGACACUCAACCACUGAACCACCCAGUUACCUGUGAUCAACCAUGGUUGGGAAGUAGAUUGGGAAGUAGAUGAUCCUCCUUCCAAGGAAUCAGCAAAAGGUCAACAGUAGCCUAACUCAAUCACUUCGCUUCGCUUCAUCUCAUCCUAGGCAUUUUGUCAUUCACAUCAUUGCAAGAAGAAGGCUCAGGUCGAUCUCAGAGCCAUGAGUUCAAGCCCCACAUUGUGUUCCAUGCUGAGUGUGG